AUGUUGAUUCGUUCGUUGAUUUUCACGGUUUUUUCUCUCGCGGAUUUAUUAGUUUUCUUUGUAUUUAAUUCAUUUAUGGCGGUAAGCUCCAACGAGGAUAAUACUAGAUUUAAUACGGAUUUUCAAAAAUCCGGUAUUAAAGUUAAUACCUCGAACGUGAUAUCAAACACCAAAAUUAAAUUUUGAGAAAAAUCGUGGAGGCUGGUCAGUAUUGGCCAAGAGAAGCAGAUUGCUGUGAUAUGAAGGGCCAGCGGUGGAAAUGCGUCGAGGAUACACCCGCAUUAUUGGUACCAAUAAGGCUAAUUAUCAAAAAUAAUGCGGUGCAGAAGACGGUCUGGACUUAGCUAUCUGGUGGCGGAUUUCUACGAGCAGCUGAAGCCGACGGCAUUUUCCUCGAUCUGGAUGACGGAAAUUAUUAGAAAUAGCCUGAUGAAUCGCUUCUAUCAUGACAACGCUGCAGUGCAUGAUAAGAAAGACGUAGAAAGGUAUUUAAAUUGUCGAUAACGAGUAUGUGGCCAAGCAGCGUGCGAAGGACGACCACCGCCAUGGCUUGGAAAUCGCUAAAAUCUCAGCCAAAUUAGUGCAAAGUUUAUAUGUGAUUAAUGUUAGCAUUUUACAAUCAAGGUAAAAAUAAUAAGAAAGAUAAGAAA